rnacentral:piRNA from 1 species
UUGGAAUUUGAUUAGUCUCCUAGACG